UACAGAGGUCUCGAGCGUUAGGCGGAAUCACUGGGCUUAAAGCGUGUGUAGGCGGAUCGUUAAGUGCCUUGUGAAAUCCCACGGCUCAACCGUGGAACUGCUUGGCAUACUGGCGGUCUUGAGCAACCUAGGGGCGAGCGGAACAAAUGGUGGAGCGGUGAAAUGCGUAGAUAUCGUUUGGAACGCCAAUGGUGAAAACAGGUCGCUGGGGAUGAGCUGACGCUGAGACACGAAAGCCAGGGGAGCAAACGGG
rnacentral:rRNA from 1 species